rnacentral:rRNA from 1 species
UGGGCAACCUGCCCUGCACACUGGGAUAAGCCUGGGAAACUAGGUCUAAUACCGGAUACGACCCUUAAGGGCAUCCCUGAGGGUGGAAAGUUCCGGCGGUGCAGGAUGGGCCCGCGGCCUACCAGCUUGUUGGUGGGGUAACGGCCUACCAAGGCGACGACGGGUAGCCGGUCUGAGAGGGCGACCGGCCACACUGGGACUGAGACACGGCCCAGACUCCUACGGGAGGCA